rnacentral:rRNA from 1 species
GGGCAACCUACCCUAUAGUUUGGGAUAACUCCGGGAAACCGGGGCUAAUACCGAAUAAUCUUUUGUCCCUCAUGGGACAAUACUGAAAGACGGUUUCGGCUGUCGCUAUAGGAUGGGCCCGCGGCGCAUUAGCUAGUUGGUGAGGUAACGGCUCACCAAGGCAACGAUGCGUAGCCGACCUGAGAGGGUGAUCGGCCACACUGGGACUGAAGACACGGCCCAGACUCCUACGGGAGGCAGCAGUAGGGAAUGGAGCAACGCCGCGUGAGUGAAGAAGGAUUUCGGUUCGUAAAACUCUGUUGUAAGGGAAGAACAAGUACAGUAGUAACUGGCUGUACCUUGACGGUACCUUAUUAGAAAGCCACGGCUAACUACGUGCCAGCAGCCGCGGUAAUACGUAGGUGGCAAGCGUUGUCCGGAAUUAUUGGGCGUAAAGCGCGCGCAGGUGGUUUCUUAAGUCUGAUGUGAAAGCCCACGGCUCAACCGUGGAGGGUCAUUGGAAACUGGGAGACUUGAGUGCAGAAGAGGAUAGUGGAAUUCCAAGUGUAGCGGUGAAAUGCGUAGAGAUUUGGAGGAACACCAGUGGCGAAGGCGACUAUCUGGUCUGUAACUGACACUGAGGCGCGAAAGCGUGGGGAGCAAACAGGAUUAGAUACCCUGGUAGUCCACGCCGUAAACGAUGAGUGCUAAGUGUUAGGGGGUUUCCGCCCCUUAGUGCUGCAGCUAACGCAUUAAGCACUCCGCCUGGGGAGUACGGUCGCAAGACUGAAACUCAAAGGAAUUGACGGGGGCCCGCACAAGCGGUGGAGCAUGUGGUUUAAUUCGAAGCAACGCGAAGAACCUUACCAGGUCUUGACAUCCCGUUGACCACUGUAGAGAUAUGGUUUUCCCUUCGGGGACAACGGUGACAGGUGGUGCAUGGUUGUCGUCAGCUCGUGUCGUGAGAUGUUGGGUUAAGUCCCGCAACGAGCGCAACCCUUGAUCUUAGUUGCCAUCAUUUAGUUGGGCACUCUAAGGUGACUGCCGGUGACAAACCGGAGGAAGGUGGGGAUGACGUCAAAUCAUCAUGCCCCUUAUGACCUGGGCUACACACGUGCUACAAUGGACGAUACAAACGGUUGCCAACUCGCGAGAGGGAGCUAAUCCGAUAAAGUCGUUCUCAGUUCGGAUUGUAGGCUGCAACUCGCCUACAUGAAGCCGGAAUCGCUAGUAAUCGCGGAUCUGCAUGCCGCGGUGAAUACGUUCCC